rnacentral:rRNA from 1 species
UACAGGGGGGGCAAGCGUUGUUCGGAAUUACUGGGCGUAAAGGGCCAGUAGGCGGCCAACUAAGUCACACGUGAAAUCCCCAGGCUUAACCUGGGAACUGCGUGUGAUACUGGAUGGCUUGAAUUCGGGAGAGGGAUGCAGAAUUCCAGGUGUAGCGGUGAAAUGCGUAGAUAUCUGGAGGAAUACCGGUGGCGAAGGCGGCAUCCUGGACCGGCAUUGACGCUGAUGAGCGAAAGCUAGGGGAGCAAACGGG